ensembl:lncRNA
GGAUUAAAUGGAUUUAACUGUAAUUUUAGACAAAAUAAGGUUAGUUUCAGGAGACUUUGCAUGAGGAGUUUUAAGAAGUUAAACAAAGCACACCAAUGCAAUGGAAUUCCAUGGUGGUUGCCUGGUGGCAAAAGGAAUAAGCAGCUUCCUAGCUCAGCACAGUAAUCAGUGGCCAUUAGGCUAAAAGAAAUAAAAAGAUACAGAGUUCACCUAGAGUUUUUAUCAGCAUUUAGUGUUUCUUGACUGAAAUUACCUUAUAUUAGUAAAAAAAAAAAAAAAAAAGAAAGAAAGAAAGAGAAGAAAAUAAAAGAAAUCCAAAUUUGCGUUAGGUCUUCUAGUGGCAAAUCAAAGCAAGUGUUGAACAAUACAGGUCAGGAAGAAAUAAAACAAAAAAUCUGCAAAACAAAAACAGCAUCACUUUACCCAAAUAAUUCAGAUUAACAUACACCAGCAUCGCUGGGCGAUUACUCUGUUCCAGGCAGCCGCAGGUGGAUCUUCAUACAAGGCCAGAUUUCUACCACAGUUCAGUCUCAGAGUUUAACACUUCUCUAACAGCCACAUAGAACAGACAUUCUUCAGCUAGGAGUUUGAAGGCUCCCCAGUCGAGCCUCACAAUUGCCCACCCAAUCCUUUCUACCUCUGGGAUGCCCAUGCACCAGCAGGUAGAAGAGAAAAAGGGAAAACAUAAAGACCAAGCUGGGAGACCAAACACUGUCAAGGUGGCAUUUUGCCAACAUGCCACAAAAGCAAGCACAGACGCUAAAGCACGAGCAGUUGGCUGGAGUGGAGACACCACCAGGAAACGGAAGGAAAAUGAUUUGGUUAAUAGUGAAUGGUCUGUUGCUACCGAUCUUGGCAAUGCUCACGUGGUUUGGAAGGUUCUCCCCUGGACCCACUGGCAGUAGGAGAUAAACAAGCCAUGUCCCAGUAGGGCGACGUGCAGGCUCAGUUCCAGCUUGGCACCUUUCCUCUGCUAUCUUCACAAGCACUCCCUGGAAAUACUACCUCCAAUCUCAUGAUGAACUGCACUGUGGAAAAACACCUAUUUGAGUAAAACCAAAAGCUUCCUAGUCAUCAUUCAUAGACAGUCCAGUGCAAUGGACUGCACAUUUUGUGGGGCAACCAUGGAGUUACAAUGAUUCCCAAAUGCUAGUGGACUGAUCAGUAAUAUCAGAGGCAAAUACUUGGCAGGUGAAGUUGCUGGAACUCUUGGAGUUUUGGCCAACACAAUGUGGAUGUUUUUGAAUUGUUGUACUUUUUGUCAGCUCAUAGCUUCAGUGGUUUACCACUAUCCCUAUCAUUCUGUCUUAUCUCAAACCCUCCCAACCCUUCUGUUUCUCACCUGGUUUGAACUGGCUAGGCCUCACAAUUGUAGAUUCUCAUGAAAGCCGGAAGUCUUCCUCAGUUGCUGUAUUACACAUUCAUUUUGAAUACUUAUCUGUUUAUGUAACUGUCUCUUCUCCAAUAUCAAGAAAUAACCAUAAAGGCAGUAACCACAUUUCUCUAGUUGUCUGUUGCCUUCCCAGGAACUAGCAGAGACUGCAUGCAUACUUGUUGAAAUAAUUGUUAGUUAGCUGGUAGGCACUGCAAUGUCCCUGAAAGAAUGCAGGAGGGAUCUGUUACUUCACC